UAGUGGGCUUAGGUUAGGGUUUUCUUAUACGCCGUCGCCUUCUCCUCACACGUCUUCACCGUCGCCCCAAAGGCCCAAACCACUUCCCUCGCCGCUCGUUUUCACCUCUCCGGCACGCAACGCCAUCGCCACUGUCGUCGGAGAAGACGACGCCGCCGCCAAUGACCUGUCGCCGGAGAAGACGAUGCCAUGAGGUCUGGAACAUUAUAUACCAGAAAUUUGGCACGGCUCAUCCCGUUCCCGUGCCGGAACGCCCGUUCCGGGCGUUCCACCUCCGUUCUUACGAACCAUGUCACUCACGAUAAGAUCUACGAGAGAAGCAGAGCGGAGAUGGGUUUUGCUUCCGGCAACAAUAUCACAUCUUUCUUCGAAUCUGCUUUCCCGGUUCCUUGUUUUCUGCUGUCUGGUCUUUCUUCGAUUUGGCGAUGGGUUUUAUCUACCUGGAAGCUACCCUGACGAGUAUCCAGUUGGAGAGGUCCUGCCGGCUGCCGGUGAAGGUCAACUCGCUUACUUCCAUCGAGACCGAGCUUCCUUUCAGUUACUACAAUCUCCCAUUCUGCCGUCCUCAAGAUGGAAUUAAGGAUAACACCAAGAAUCUUGGGGAGCUACUAAUGAGAGACGGAUCUAAGAAGGGCUGGACCGACAACCCUGUUCUAGAUCCGUCUCUAGUUCUUUGUACGGACGAUCUAACAUUGCAAGUGUUAACAUUACGCAUAUGGAUUCUUGGUGUUCCACUCUGCAUCCUACCGUAGGUGUUGUUUCGAAUAUUUUUUCUUUGAUUCUAGAUUUUUUUUUUUGGUGAUUUAAUAUGUUUACUGAAGACUAAAGUAAAUCAUUCAAUAGGAGGGUUUAGCUAAUAGAGACUUAUAUAUGGCUCUUGAGGACAUUAACAAUGGCUUCCUUCCAAGAAUUGGUAUUUAUUUAGUAUGUGGAAGAAUGUUUCAGUUACAUUCAUUGGUUUGGUUUAAACAGGUUGCUUCUGUUGUCUUCACCGAAGACCUUAAAAGAAUAUAUGUGACCAUGAAAGAAUUAAGGCUUUCCUCUAGAGUAUAUUGUAAGUCAGGCUGAAUGCUUUCUUAAUCUUAAUGCAUAAUUAGAUGAUGUAACCAGUAUUUUAUUAUUAUAUGUUUGGCAGCUAAAUUUAUUCUCAGUGAAUAUUUAUUUUGUGUAGGUUGAUAUUCCACUUGAUUCAUACUUGUCUGAGAGCAUCUCUAGCUCAGGUGUCAAAGUUGUUCUCCUUCAAAAGCAGCAAAGCUAUUAUUUUAUAAAUUGAGUUAAAUAUAGUUAGUCACAUUAACAAUGGCUUUCUUUCAAGAAUUAGUAUUUAUCUAGUAUGUGGAAGAAUGUUUCAGUUACAUUGGUUUAGUUUAAACAGGUUGCUUUUGUUGUCUUCACCAAAGACCUUAAAAAAUAUAUGUGACCAUGAAAGAAGGCUUUCCUCUAGGGUAUAUAAUAGUUGAUAUUCCACAUGAUCCAUACUUGUCCGAGAACAUCUCUAGCUGGGAUGUUGAAGUUGUUCUCCUUCAAAAGAGCAAAGCUAUUAUUUCUUCAAAAUAGUUUUUGCAUUACUACCAGGGUUACUUAUUUUGUAUCUUAUCAGAGAACCUGUUUUGCUUUUGCAUGUUACAAAUAAUGGAUUUCUACAAAAGAAGUAUAACCAACAUAUUGACAGGAAUAUGCAGAAAACUUCAUACUGUUGA